AAAGUGAUGAUUUCAUAGUUCAGCUGAUUGUAAUGAUUUAAAAUUUGAGUCUUUUGCCCCUAUCUGA
rnacentral:snoRNA from 1 species